rnacentral:rRNA from 1 species
ACGCUCGACACCUACGGGAGGCAGCAGUGGGGAAUAUUGGGCAAUGGGCGCAAGCCUGACCCAGCAACGCCGCGUGAAGGAAGAAGGCUUUCGGGUUGUAAACUUCUUUUAUUAAGGACGAAGCAAUGACGGUACUUAAUGAAUAAGCUCCGGCUAACUACGUGCAAGCAGCCGCGGUAAUCUGAGCGGGCUGGCAAGGC